rnacentral:rRNA from 1 species
UACGUAGGGUGCAAGCGUUAAUCGGAAUUACUGGGCGUAAAGCGUGCGCAGGCGGUGAUGUAAGACAGAUGUGAAAUCCCCGGGCUCAACCUGGGAACUGCAUUUGUGACUGCAUCGCUGGAGUGCGGCAGAGAGGGAUGGAAUUCCGCGUGUAGCAGUGAAAUGCGUAGAUAUGCGGAGGAACACCGAUGGCGAAGGCAAUCCCCUGGGCCUGCACUGACGCUCAUGCACGAAAGCGUGGGGAGCAAACAGG